GGCCCCUUUACAUGGGACUAUUAUUGGCCAAAGGAGCGUUCAUAGAAACAUUCGUUCCCAAUAACUGGCUUGUGAAAAAGGGACAGCAAUCAGCCAAAAAAUUAUUGGUUGGCUGAUCAGAUCUUUUGUGCCGGCAACUUUAAAAAGUUGAAAAAAAAGCACAACAUGUGACAAACAUGACAAAAUAUGUUGGUGUGGGCUUAAACCUACACAUAUUGCAGUCUUACAAAAAUAUUACUUUGUUUUCCACAGUUGCAACAUUGGUCAUCAUUUUUUUGCUCUCACAUCGCCCUGUUUAAAUGGGUGAUGUGUGUCUGACAAUGUUAAAUUGAAGAACAGAAUGAGCAAUCCCGUGAUCGUUCAUGUGUCCCAGCCUGCAACUGAUCAACGCCAACUAAAUUGGCACUUGUUUACAGUCACAGACCUAUUGGAAAAUGCACAGGAUGUCAACAUCUCAGUGCAGGUCGUGGCAUAGCCACUCCACUGGUAAGUAUCAAGUGUCACAGUACAGAGAGAAAACCAGAUAGAGAUCAGAUCCAUGGGAGAGAAG